CCUACGGGGGGCUGCAGUGGGGGAUAUUGGUCAAUGGGCGCGAGCCUGAACCAGCCAAGUAGCGUGAAAGAUGACUGCCCUACGGGUUGUAAACUUCUUUUAUAAAGGAAUAAAGUGAGGCACGUGUGCCUUUUUGUAUGUACUUUAUGAAUAAGGAUCGGCUAACUCCGUGCCAGCAGCCGCGGUAAUACGGAGGAUCCGAGCGUUAUCCGGAUUUAUUGGGUUUAAAGGGAGCGUAGAUGGGUUGUUAAGUCAGUUGUGAAAGUUUGCGGCUCAACCGUAAAAUUGCAAUUGAUACUGGCAGCCUUGAGUACAGUUGAGGUAGGCGGAAUUCGUGGUGUAGCGGUGAAAUGCUUAGAUAUCACGAAGAACUCCGAUUGCGAAGGCAGCCUACUAAACUGCCACUGACAUUGAUGCUCGAAAGUGUGGGGAUCAAACAGGAUUAGAUACCCCUGUAGUC
rnacentral:rRNA from 1 species